GUCACAUCCAUCCCCGCUGUCACAGAGUCAGAAUGGAUUUCCAGAAACCAGGCUCACUCUUGGGAUGCUGUCACAGAUGCGUAUGUCAUUACCUUUGCCAGAAAGAACCUUAAAGGAAACAUUAGGAAAAAAUAUGCAUUAGAUCCCUAACAAGAAUAGAAGCCACGUCUUUAGUAACAUGUUACUUUAGAUAAGUUUAGCACGCGAUCCUUUCAAAUUAUUUUCAUUAUGGUAGAGAACAAUAAAAAGGGUGUGGGUUCAAAAAAGAGUUUUGAGAUGGGCCUUGGUGGAGAGGAACUGGCUGCUAUUCAGCUGGGGAGUGUCACCUGAGUGAAAUGUGUUCCCACUAUGCAGGCUUGCAGACUCAAAUCUGUGAUUUUCCCAUCCCCAAUCUCCACAUUUCAGGACCCUCAACACCAACCCCUAUAAGUCUCCUAAUCAGACACACAUAGUGCCCCCAAUCACUGGCCUCCAAUCUCCAACCCUCAGAGGUUUUCAUAGUCACUGAUAUUCCCAUAUGUUCAAAUCUGACCAGGAGAGACUACAGGUCAGUAACUACAAAGAACACUGAUCCGAUCUGAUUGCCAGUGAAAUUACACAGCCCCCAAUCAUGAACCCACACUGAUUGCCAAUGAUAUCCCAACGACUGAGGAUCAAUUGUUGAUUCUCACAGUCCCACUCCCACCCACAGGUGACAGUCCGAAUCACUGAGCCUCAUUGAGGCGUACCUUUAAGAUAAGCACACUUGAUUCUAUUCUCCAUUCCCUGAUCUACAAAAGUCCAAUCAUUAAUACUCUCCGAUCCUCCACCGAUGAUAUGAAGUAAGUCUCAAUCACCGAUGGCCCAAAACAUUUCUCCAAACAUUCAUCACCACUGACCUCCCUCAUUUGAACCCCAAAGUUUCCACAAUCACCAAUUCCAGUACGCAAACUAUUACUACCCACAGAACUUAGAACCUCCGAUCACUGAUCUUCUCGGGCUCCGAUCAUUAACCUUAAAGCUCUCUAAACCAGUGUCUGAAAAAUCCCAACUGACCCCAGACCCAUGAAGACCACUAUAACUGACCCCAUGCACCCUGAAAAUCAAGACAUUUCACAGAACUCGCAUUUAUUGAUUCCCACACACUCCCAAUGCAUCUUCUUCAGAGACCGUGCCACUGACUCCCGCAAACCUCUGCCCGCCACCACUGAGGCCCCGCGAGGCUCAGACGCCGAAUCUCUUAACCCUUCAGUACCCUUGUCAUUGACCCUCACGGGCACCCAUAGCUGACCCAGUCGGCCACCGUAGUCGGCAGCUCACUAUCCUCCACUGGUCCUAGGUUUGACCGUUUCUCAAACCGUGCCUUCCCAUUUAUGCUGCAUCCGCGCCCUGAAUCUGAAAUUGGUCGUCCUGCCAUGCCGCCUCACCGCGGUAUAAGGUCGUCCCAUCCUGAAUGGCCGGUGCGCAGACUCAAUUGCGACUUUUGAGGCUGUCAGCCGCCACCCGGCAACCUUCCAGUGAACAGGAUUCUGGGUUUCUCAAAGCUGUAAUUGGAGGUAUGAUGGCGACGCCCACUUGACUCCUACCGGGGGCGGCCAUGUUUAAAACUGUGCCGUAAAACGGAUGAUUAAGCCCUUUGCUAGACCAAAAGAUAAGGCUAUUUUAGGACAAGGAGAAGCAAGUGCCCCUGGAUCCCUAAACAGAGAUGUCGUCUCUGCUCUUAACUCAGCCUCUCAGAUGCCAAAACCUCCUGUGGCCAACAUGGUGGCGCCCAGACAUCAAAGCUGAGCUUUCUUUGUCUCCGGCAGCCUGGGCCACUCCAGAGGUGUUAAAGCUCCAGCACUUCCAGCCUGCCUUGUGGGAAAGUCUUAGGCUGAGUCUGUAGGUGCCUGCAGUUAAGAAGCCAGCGGUCUGCAUAUGAUUGCUCAGGGGUGGUGGCUGGGUACCAACAGCAUUCACUACAGGCCUGCCUUGAAUACCACCUAACGCAGUGCUCCGCAUAUCACAGGGGCUGGAAACCUAACAAUUUCACGUCCUAGACAACUUGCUAAAAGUCACCUAAAGACAGUCUGGUUACUGCCAAAGAUAUGCUUUCAAAUAAGAUUUGGAUAAAGAAGGGAGGUAGAUGCCUUUUUUCAGCAGUGGAGUGAUGUCUAGACCAGUAGAUGUACGCAUCUAAGUGAAUUCAUCACCAGCAACAAUUUCCAGAAACUUCCUGACCUCCAGAUUGCAGCUUCAUUAGUGUGAGUUUAAAGCCAACUAGAUGCCAUUCUCAGAUUCCACGCAUAUGGCCAAGGGUCCAGGAAAUAAGAAGAAACAGGAUUGAGGGGUUGGUGUUAUGGGGCAUUUACUUGAAUUUUCUAUGCUAUAAUUGUCUCAUCUUUAAAAUGGUGAUAAUAAUAAAAUGGUCAGUUAUUAAAUAAA
rnacentral:lncRNA from 1 species